UUGGCUCUUGCGGUACAUGUGACAACUGUCCUCAUCUGCAUAUGGACAGGUACGCUAUGGUGAGCGGGGUAGAGAAGUUACGGGGCUGGCACCGUGUGAAUGGAGUUUUAAAGAUCGUCGAGAAAUCUCCUAAGUAGCCCUAGGACAUCGUUAGUCUACAGCAAGAGGACUACUGUUUCAUACCGCCCCUUGACUUCGGAAAAUAGCUCAUUGUAAUCAACAGAGACAGGCACCCCUCACUGUCAGUCUGCCUGCUGUGUCCCCAUUGGUCCAGAUGUGAGAGCAGAGUCCAGCAGUGUCACCUCUAACCCUCAGGGCCCGUCGUCAUGAAAAUGGUGUUGUCGUUACCAAGGCCGUCGUGGGGGUUGUGGUCUGUGUUAGUCCCAGGCCUGGCCCUACUGCUGUGCCUGGCCCUGGUCCUGAUGGGCUGUGUGAUCAGGAAGAAGAGAAGGAUGGAGGGAAUGUAUCGGCCCAGUGCGGAAGAGAGCAAACAGACAGGACCACGGGGGGCUGAGAGACCAGGCCUGCCCCUGCCCAAGGAGGAGAGACUCAUCUGAUACCCGCACUCUAGCCUGGUCGCUACACACACACAAACUCUCUUUUCCUCCCUCUCUCUCACUACCAUUACCUCACUCUCCUCUACCCUGUACAUGAAGCCAGAAUGGGUUAUUAGUAGUUAUGUGUUGUGUGAAGUUAUCUGUAGAUGAAGUGUCUUGUUAAAUAUGCCUGAACAUGCCUGGUGGAUGUGUCAUGUUCUCUCCAGUUUCUCCAAAUGUGCUGAUGUUGACAUCAGUGUGUCAACCGGUGAAUGCUGAAUGCCCUGUCAGGGGUGUGUUGUUUACCUGUAGGUGGACUAGUUGUUGACAUGUUUACCUUUAGGUGGACUAGUUGUUGACAUGUUUACCUUUAGGUGGACUAGUUGUUGACAUGUUUACCUUUAGGUGGACUAGUUGUUGACAUGUUUACCUGUAGGUGGACUAGUUGUUGACAUGUUUACCUGUAGGUGGACUAGUUGUUGACAUGUUUACCUGUAGGUGGACUAGUUGUUGAUCAUACAGAGAAAAGGGAAUUUUAAAAGUGCCUCUAUAUGCAAAAUGUCUCUUUAUUAUGGCAGUUAUACUGUUACAUGUGAACAAACUAUGAUUGAAGUGUAUCCCGUGUAUAAAGCAUUAGUGUGUGUGUGUGUGUGUGUGUGUGUGUGUGUGUGUGUGUGUGUGUGUGUGUGUGUGUGUGUGUGUGUGUGUGUGUGUGUGUUUUAUAUCUUGAAAAUGAAGAGAAGAAUGGUAAGACACUAUGAAUGAUUUCUAAUGUCCUUCUGAUGAUAUUAUCCAUGUGAAAACAAUAAAACUCCUCUCAAAAAGUAUAAAACUUCCAUUUAUUCAGUGCAUUUAAUAUCAUCCAGGAGAAAAAUAUUGAAUUUAGUUUAAAAAAAUAAAAUAAAAUAUCUUCAAGUGUG